UGAGCAAUCUGCCCUUCUCUUCGGAAUAAACGUGGGAAACCGCGUCUAAUGCCGAAUACGACCUCCUUUCGCAUCAUCGGAGGUGGAAAGCUCCGGCGGAGAAGGAUGAGCUCGCGGCCUAUCAGCUAGUUGGUGUGGGUAAUGGCCCACAAGGCGACGACGGGUAGCCGGCCUGAGAGGGUGACCGGCCACACUGGGACUGAGACACGGCCCAGACUCCUACGGGAGCAGCAGG
rnacentral:rRNA from 1 species